rnacentral:snoRNA from 2 species
AUGAGCUGAGGAUGAUUUAAAGUUAUCCCUGUCUGAAAUGGUAUCUUUUGUGAGGAGGUCUGACUUGCUGAGGCUCAG